AAUUAAAAGAAAUUCAGUGGCUGAGAAACUUAGUGAUUCUAGUUUGUUCAGUCGAAAUGCUAGAACCAAAAGAAACAUACUUAAUGAAUCUCUAGAUGUUGCUGAGGCUUCAAAUGUUAGUGUUACUUGCAACACACUGAAAAUUCCACUUUCUUCUUCAGAUGGAAAUUCCUUUUCAACAAAUUUCACAGUAAACAUAAGACAUUCAGAAGAAGAAGGCAUGUACUUAACCUUUAUUUCCAUCGCUGUUUCAAUGACGAAAUAAUUCCCAUUAACCUAACCAUUGAGGUUACCGAAACCAACGGUGAUAUAAACUACCUAUCAGCUGAAACGGCAUGGAACUUUUUGCUGUUCCUCUUACAAAAGUAACUGGAUCGCGUUCGACGGCCGAUCGUUUCGCUUUCGGAAAAACCGAUGGGAGGAAAGGUGGAGCCGGCCAGCAGAAAGGAAAGAUUCAGCAUCGAACGGAUUUUGGUGAUGGGAGCAACCGGUUCCGGCAAGACGACGCUCAUCAAUGGCAUGAUCAACUACAUUUUCAACGUGCAAUGGGAGGAUACCUUCCGCUUCCAGCUGAUUCAAGAACAGACGGCCGGCCGCUCCCAAGUUGACAGCCAGACCAGCCGCAUCACGGCUUACGAC